rnacentral:rRNA from 1 species
GACGGAGGGUGCAAGCGUUGUUCGGAUUGACUGGGCGUAAAGGGCGUGUAGGCGGUUGCCCAAGUCCGAUGUGAAAGCCCGAGGCUUAGCCUCGGAAGUGCAUCGGAAACUAGGCAGCUGGAGCGCGAUAGAGGAGGGUAGAAUUCCUGGUGUAGCGGUGGAAUGCGCAGAUAUCAGGAGGAACACCGGUGGCGAAGGCGGGUCUCUGGGCCGUUACUGACGCUGAGGAGCGAAAGCGUGGGGAGCGAACAGG